UACGGGAGGUAGCAGUGGGGAAUAUUGGACAAUGGGCGAAAGCCUGAUCCAGCCAUGCCGCAUGAGUGAAGAAGGCCUUCGGGUUGUAAAGCUCUUUUAGUGAGAAAGAUAAUGACGGUACUCACAGAAGAAGUCCUGGCUAACUCCGUGCCAGCAGCCGCGGUAAUACGGAGAGGGCUAGCGUUAUUCGGAAUUAUUGGGCGUAAAGAGCGCGUAGGCUGAUUAGUAGUUAAAAGUGAAAUCCCAAAGCUUAACUUUGGAAUUGCUUUUUAAAACUGCUAGUCUAGAGAUUGAAAGAGGAUAGAGGAAUUCCUAGUGUAGAGGUGAAAUUCGUAAAUAUUAGGAGGAACACCAGUGGCGAAGGCGUCUAUCUGGUUCAAAUCUGACGCUGAGGCGCGAAGGCGUGGGGAGCAAACAGGGAUUAGAUACC
rnacentral:rRNA from 1 species